rnacentral:rRNA from 1 species
AAAUUGAAGAGUUUGAUCAUGGCUCAGAUUGAACGCUGGCGGCAGGCCUAACACAUGCAAGUCGAGCGGUAGCACAGAGAGCUUGCUCUCGGGUGACGAGCGGCGGACGGGUGAGUAAUGUCUGGGAAACUGCCUGAUGGAGGGGGAUAACUACUGGAAACGGUAGCUAAUACCG